rnacentral:tRNA from 1 species
GCUGGAGUUGGGGCUCAGUGGUAGAGCACGUGCCUAGCAUGUGUGAGGCACUGGGUUCGAUUCUCAGCACCGCA